GAACGCAAACAAACAAGGCAUCUAUUAUAUAAAUUGGUUUAGGUCACAAUUAAGUUAACUGUCUAGACAGAGCAGGCAUGCAGCUAAUCAAUUAUAUAAUUAUGCUCGACAGUAGCAAUUACGGAAUUGGCAAUUGUAUGAUUGCAGGUUUUUGUAUUUUGUGCUACAACUGACAUUUGUCACAAAGUUAAGCAACCCCAAAACCAACAUAAAGCUGAGAGUGACAAUAUUGUAUUCAAUAUUGUAUCCAUGAAUGGUUUAGCUCACAAGACUCUUGGCAAGCAAGCCCUAGCUGUGUCUUUUCAGUCACUGUGCUUUUGGAUUUUCAAAUUACGGGAAGAUAAAGCUAGACGUCAUAUUGAAAAGUGGCUGCAGAAAGUGAAAACAAUCUGAACUUGAAAUGUGUCUUCUUAUUCGAGAUCUGAAACAGUUACUUUUUUACAUUUUGUUGGUCCUCACAUACAAACCCACGAGAAACAAACAGAGUUAUCUUAUCAUUACAUGAUGAUGAAUGUAGCUUUCUUGCGUUUCCUUAUUUUCCCCAGGGGUGCUCUGCUGUAUGUUCUCAUAAGGAGGCCUUGGAACAUUUAGUCUUGGCAGCAAGGCUAGCAUGACAGAGAACGGCUGCUGAUGUUGAGUCCGUGUGUUUAUUUGAUUUCUGAAUGGAAUCAGCGAAAACAGAUGAUCCAAACCCAUUGCAUGGGCAAGCUUAAAGAUGUUGUCAAUGAUGACAAAUCUUUGAUCAGAUCAUCAGGUAUGCCACAUUCUGGAUGAGUUCCUGGAUAUUUUAGACAAACUUUACGAACGGCAAGAAAGCCAUUGCAUCAGCGAAUGUGGAGUGGCAUCACACUCGGCCAGGGAGUCCAGACAGCCAGGACAUCGCCUAUCUUCCAAAUAUUUAUCCAGCCAAUGGCUGUGUGAUCACCAUGAAAUGCAGAGAAGCUGCCUGUACGAAGGAACAAUGAAGGAAUUAACACUAUAGACUUUCUUUAAUUAUUGUUUUUAUCGAAUAGCGCACAUAAUGUAGAGUGACUAGGAUCUAGGUAAUGGCAUCUGCUGCUUGAUAAAUGUAGACCUUUAUUAGAACUACCUGCUGGAA